UACGAAGGGGGCCAUCGUUGUUCGGAAUUACUGGGCGUAAAGCGCGUGUAGGCGGGCCGUUAAGUUGGGGGUGAAAGCCCAGAGCUCAACUCUGGAAUUGCCUUCGAUACUGGCGGCCUGGAGCAUGAUAGAGGCGAGUGGAAUUGCGAGUGUAGAGGUGAAAUUCGUAGAUAUUCGCAGGAACACCAGUGGCGAAGGCGACUCGCUGGAUCAUUGCUGACGCUGAGACGCGAAAGCGUGGGGAGAAAACAGG
rnacentral:rRNA from 1 species